GAUGAACGCUGGCGGCGUGCCUAAUACAUGCAAGUCGAGCGAACGGACGAGAAGCUUGCUUCUCGGAUGUUAGCGGCGGACGGGUGAGUAACACGUGGAUAACCUACCUAUAAGACUGGGAUAACUUCGGGAAACCGGAGCUAAUACCGGAUAAUCUUUUGAACCGCAUGGUUCAAAAGUGAAAGACGGUCUUGCUGGCACGUAUAGAUGGAUCCGCGCUGCAUUAGCUAGUUGGUAAGGUAACGGCUUACCAAGGCAACGAUGCAUAGCCGACCUGAGAGGGUGAUCGGCCACCCUGGAACUGAGACACGGUCCAGACUCCUACGGGAGGCAGCAGUAGGGAAUCUUCCGCAGUGGUCGAAAGCCUUACGGAGCGACGCCGCGUGAGUGAUGGAGGUCUUCGGAUCGUAAAACUCUGUUAUUAGGGAAGAACAUAUGUGUAAGUAACUGAGCACAUCUUGACGGUACCUACUCAGAAAGCCCCGGCUAACUACGUG
rnacentral:rRNA from 1 species